GGGCCCUGCCCGGGCUCGGUUCCGCUCGGGCCGCUCACUCGACAUCUACCAGGUGAGAUCUGAUGCUCUCCCUCCUUUCCCCACUUUCCCUGUGGCUUGUGCUCUCCAAUGCAAAAUCCUCUGGGUUUAAAAAGCCAGUGCAAACUGUUCAUUAUUUAUUUCUAGAGCACAGGAUAUUCUUAGAAAGAGCCCCGAGGAUCGUCAGGUCAAACGAUGGUAGGGGACUGGCCCAUGUGGGCAUUAAACUCAGAAUCCUGGCCUUCUCAGCACCCUGCUCCAAGCACCUGAGCCAAUCUCAGGGUCACGAGAAAAGUCCUGCCUGGGAUGGGAAUGGCUGCUGCCAGCAAGGGAAUUCCUGGGAAAAUCAGCACAUGUUUUGCUAAUGCUGCUUUGCACACCAGCCUCUGGAAUGGCUCUAGGAUAGAACUGCCUGGCAUCUGACACAACAGCACAAAACUCUUCCCAUAAUCCUGAUUUUCUGUCUUUUUCAGCAUUUCCCUGAUGGCUGUAAAGGUGCUGAUGCCGUGUUCCUUUCCAGGGAGAAGCGAGCAAGGCCAGUCCUGAGGGCUCCCUUGGUCCCAGGCCGAAGCUCUCCUGCAGUGUCAGGGCUGGUCCCGCCUGCCGAGGGGCGUUUCCUGCAGGUGCCCUGGUGAUGCCAGGAAGGUCCCUUUGCCCACAGUGCCUUUCUCCUGCCCCUCCCCUGCCUGAGGCUGCUCCUCUGCUCACUUUCUCUGUCCUUGCCACACACAGUGGGGCACCAAAGGGACAAGGUUUCAGAAAAUAUUUCUGAAGGUGAGAAGAACAUGAACUCACCACCAUUAAGGCCUGGCAGUUCCCUUCAUGAGAGCUCAGUGCACAUCCACAGAGGCAAUUCCAGCAUCUGAAAGAAAAAGCAAGAAGAAAAAGGCACUUCUGCAAUCCAACCCUGAAGCUGAGCAGCCCGAAAGCUCUGGAGUCUGCUCUGGAACAAAAGGAUCCUCCCAGGGGCCCCACUUGUGAGUUCCUGAAUCCUUUGCCAUUGGACUUUGGACAAAGGAAGAGAAGGAUCUGUUCCCCACAGGUGUCAUCCAGCAGGGAACAGCCCCUGUGCCAGCCCCAGCCUGGGCUGAGCACGCUGCCUCACUGCCCCAUUCUGCAUCCUGGCUCCACUCCAGUCUGAGUUUUCCCCCAUUUUCCAUGUCUAGAAACAGGAACUUGUCCUGGUCAGGGUGUAAGACCUUAAACUGCACAUUGAUCUGGGGGCUGUGACUGGAUUCCAGCAGGGAAUUCAUGGUUCUACAAAUGAAAACUCUUCCAGGGAGCAGCACUGAAAAUUUGGGAGCUGCUGCUUCACCACACGGUGUCAGCAGCAGAGAGAACAAAAAAUGUGUAUCCAAAAACAGGGAUAAAAUGAUUCCUCCUGCUUUCAGUGGGACCAAGGCUAAUUCUGCCCUGGAGUGACAAAGAACUUCUCCCUCAUACCCCCAGAGACCCCUCAAAGAGCCAAAGUGCAGCAGGGAAGGAAGGAAAGGCACCUCUGCCUCACCUGCUGG